CUCUCGCACAGCUGCUCGCACCCUGGGGACCCUUCCAGACCGUCCGCACAGCACGACCGCGACUCCAUCCGUGCCUUCAGGACGCAAGAGCAACAGGCACGCGGACAGCCAAGACGCCCAGCGGGUAACCGCCACAGCCGCGCGUCACUCACCUCCAACGGCGGCCCGGGCUGCUUCCGGGUCAGAGGUCCGCGAAGGCCGUUGCUUCCGGAAGGGGCCAAUGAAGAGCAAUGCGCCUGGGAACCAGCGCGGCAGUUUCAGACACGCAGCCUCUGAUCCUAGCCUGACCCUGGGGACGCUGGGUCUCCCUCAGGCUCGGCCAGCAGCGUCGAGGACGGCUCCUCCCCUCACGGCUUGCACAGACUCUGGGGCAGGAGAGGACGCGACGCUGACUCCCAGCAGAGCACUGCCUGGCAGUCGCGCCCAGUGUGCGUGCGGAUGCACUUCCGGGUCACCGCGCCAAGCGCAGGCGCACUCCCCACCGGCCAUCACCAUGGCACCCCAGGACGCACCUGCACACUGUGGCAUCCAGUGUCCGAAGCCCCAAGGCCGCUUCCAGUCCUGCCUCUCCAGGCUGUAACCAGGGACGCAGAUAUUGAUGGCCCACGUUCUCUGGACCCCACCUCCCUGCCUCGUGGGAGUCCUCAAUGGAGCUCCUGCCUCCUGCCUCCUGCCUCCUGCCUCCUGGCUUCUGCCUGGCCCAGUGCUGGCCGCUCGUUGCAGCCACUUGGGGAGAGAAGCAGUGCAGGGGACUUCGCCAGCUCUCUCUCUCUCUCUCUCUCUCUCUCUUUGAGUGGUCUUCCAUCUGGGGGUUCACCCCCGAGGUGGCUACAAAGGCCGGGACUGGACAGAAGCCAGGGGCUGAAGCAGAAGCCAGGGACUUUAGCCAGCACUCCAUUCUGGGUUCAGGGGCCUAAAUCUUGGACUGUCUCCCUCUGCUUUCCCAGGCAGGUUAGCAGACAGCUGGAGCCCAUGGUGAACGGCUUCCGGGAGGGUCAGCACUCUGAGGUAGCAGGAGGAUAUCCCAGCGAGGAUCCUGGCUCCUGGCAUCAGACACUCUCAGCUCCGCCCAUGGCAGCCAAUUGGAACUUAUAUGAUUAAAGACAGCGUGGGACGACUCUGUGGAAAAGCAGGUUAAAGCCCUGGCCUGAAGUGCCAGCAUCCCAUAUGGGUGCCAGUUGUAGUCCCGGCUGCUCCUCUUCCAAUCUAGCUCUCUGCUAUGGCCUGGGAAAGCAGUGGAGGAUGGCCCAAGUCCUUGGGCCCCUGUACCUACCUGGGAGACCAGGAAGAAGCUCCUGGCUUCAGAUCAACACAUCUCUGACCAUUGCGGCCAUCUAUGAGUGAACCAGUGGAUGGAAGAUCUCUCUCUCUGUCUCUAGCUCUCUCUGUAACUCUGGCUUUCAAAUAAAUAAAAUAUAUCUUUAAAAAAAGGACAGUGCGUAGCACUGGAUUGUUCUUUCUCUUCUAUCUUUAAGCAAUAUAGUCUUUCCAAUUCUUUCUACCAAGCAGGGAUUGAAAUACCAGUAUCUACCUUACAGAGUUGAUGGGAGAGGGCACCUAACGACGCCCAGCACCAUGGACUCCCCCAUGCCUCCACGGCAUCCAGCAGCCUACUCUCUGCUGUACUUGUUGGUGGGAGAGUGCAUAAAACAA